GCGCCCGUAGCUCAGCUGGAUAGAGCAUCAGAUUGCGGUUCUGAAGGCCCCAGGUUCGAAUCCUGGCGGGCGCGCCA
rnacentral:tRNA from 1 species